AUCUCGUUAGAUCACCGAAGUUAAGCAUCAUUGGGCGCGGUCAGUACUUGGGUGGGUGACCACCUGGGAACACCGCGUGCCGUU